GGUAUUGGGGUUAGGAUCCUGACCUACGACCUUGAAGAGGCACAGUUAAGACCUUUACUCUAGUUACAGCAAUAAGCCCACCUCUGCCUGAGAGGCCAGUACAUCAGGGCUCUCCCUGUCCGACAUCACCCGACCCGUAACAGUCCACAGACUCUUCUGGAGAGGACUGGAGCUCAAGCAAGGUUCACUCCUCCACUCUGCUUCCUGUCUGCCAUGCUGUGAGCUCCUCCUCUCUGCCUCCUGUCGGUCGCACUAUGAACAGCCUUCUCUUCCACUCUGAGAGUUACCGUGAUGUUCCACCCAGUGUAUGGACCCAAGUGACCAUGGCCUGCAUCCUCUGAGAUACUGAUCAAGAUAAAGCUUACUUCCAUUUAAAUUGUUCUUUAGGGUGUUUUAGGCACAGUGCGCCAUAGUGACAAUUCCAGGACUUCACUGCUCUCCCCGUCGGAGCUCCCUUUUGUUCAAAACACUUCUUAAGUUACAACUCGCCGAGGUGACCAUGCUUCCACGUGACUGUGACUCACUUCCUUGUGUGAUGUGUGACUUCAGCGUUAGCACUUGAGCUUCAUGGAAUGUCACAGAUUCUUCAGCAGAAACUGAUGACUUCAGCUCUCUAAGCUCAAACGUCCCCCUGGCUGCUUACUAAGUAUUUACUGCCUUGUGAGAUCCAUGGCCGCUCGGGUAUGGUGAGAAGCCCCUGGAAGAAGCUCAGGGAGAGUGGAUCUGGCGGCAGCAGGCCUGGCUGGAGACCUGAGCUCUCUCUUGUCAUGCUCUUGGUCCUUGGCCAUGAUCAGGGCCCUGCUGUAAGCAUCCUUCUCUGCCUCUUUAACAUCCA
rnacentral:lncRNA from 1 species